AUCUGUUGAAGGAGAAAAAAAAUAAAAUAGAAGACAAAGUAGAAGAAGAAGAUAGGGAAGAGAAAAAAUUGGAUGAAAACCUUAAAAGAUGAGGAAUUGGAGAAAGUAGAAUAAUAUGAAGAUGAGGUAAAAGCCGAAAAACACCAGAAGAAUAGGAAGUCGGUGAUAACGAAGAAGACGAUGACAAUGAAAAAGGAAAAGAAAAAAAAAGAAAUAGAAUAAUAAAACAUUGAAGA
rnacentral:lncRNA from 1 species